rfam:Aedes albopictus isolate Foshan contig44578, whole genome shotgun sequence.
UGCCCAGCAACUCCUAUCCCUACCUCCACGCGGUACCGGCCGGAAACUAUGAGCAACCUUAGGGAAGAUCGGGUAACCAACCCCAGUGGGAACUUUGGUCGUAGGCUGACAGGGAAGG